rnacentral:tRNA from 1 species
GGUGGCUCAGCGGUAGAGCGCUUGGCUUGCAUGCAUGAGGCCCUGGGUUCGAUUCCUCAGUACCA